UUGGAGGGCAAGUCUGGUGCCAGCAGCCGCGGUAAUUCCAGCUCCAAUAGCGUAUAUUAAAGUUGUUGCAGUUAAAAAGCUCGUAGUUGAAUUUCGGGGUUAGUAGGUUGGUCAUGCCUCUGGUAUGUACUGGUCUCACUGAUUCCUCCUUCCUGAUGAGCCGUAAUGCCAUUAAUUUGGUGUUGCGGGGAAUUUGGACUGUUACUUUGAAAAAAUUAGAGUGUUUAAAGCAGGCUCGCGCUUGAAUACAUUAGCAUGGAAUAA
rnacentral:rRNA from 1 species